CUUAGAGUUUGAUCCUGGCUCAGGAUGAACGCUAGCUACAGGCUUAACACAUGCAAGUCGAGGGGAAACGACAUCGAAAGCUUGCUUUUGAUGGGCGUCGACCGGCGCACGGGUGAGUAACGCGUAUCCAACCUGCCCACCACUUGGGAAUAACCUUGCGAAAGUAAGACUAAUACCCAAUGACGUCUCUAGAAGACAUCUGAAGGAGAUUAAAGAUUUAUCGGUGAUGGAUGGGGAUGCGUCUGAUUAGCUUGUUGGCGGGGUAACGGCCCACCAAGGCGACGAUCAGUAGGGGUUCUGAGAGGAAGGUCCCCCACAUUGGAACUGAGACACGGUCCAAACUCCUACGGGAGGCAGCAGUGAGGAAUAUUGGUCAAUGGACGAGAGUCUGAACCAGCCAAGUAGCGUGCAGGAUGACGGCCCUAUGGGUUGUAAACUGCUUUUAUAAGGGAAUAAAGUGAGCCUCGUGAGGCUUUUUGCAUGUACCUUAUGAAUAAGGACCGGCUAAUUCCGUGCCAGCAGCCGCGGUAAUACGGAAGGUCCGGGCGUUAUCCGGAUUUAUUGGGUUUAAAGGGAGCGUAGGCCGGAGAUUAAGCGUGUUGUGAAAUGUAGACGCUCAACGUCUGCACUGCAGCGCGAACUGGUUUCCUUGAGUACGCACAAAGUGGGCGGAAUUCGUGGUGUAGCGGUGAAAUGCUUAGAUAUCACGAAGAACUCCGAUUGCGAAGGCAGCUCACUGGAGCGCAACUGACGCUGAAGCUCGAAAGUGCGGGUAUCGAACAGGAUUAGAUACCCUGGUAGUCCGCACGGUAAACGAUGGAUGCCCGCUGUUGGUCUGAAUAGGUCAGCGGCCAAGCGAAAGCAUUAAGCAUCCCACCUGGGGAGUACGCCGGCAACG
rnacentral:rRNA from 1 species